rnacentral:rRNA from 1 species
GUGGGGAAUUUUGGACAAUGGGCGCAAGCCUGAUCCAGCAAUGCCGCGUGCAGGAAGAAGGCCUUCGGGUUGUAAACUGCUUUUGUACGGAACGAAACGGUCCUGGUUAAUACCCGGGGCUAAUGACGGUACCGUAAGAAUAAGCACCGGCUAACUACGUGCCAGCAGCCGCGGUAAUACGUAGGGUGCAAGCGUUAAUCGGAAUUACUGGGCGUAAAGCGUGCGCAGGCGGUGCUGUAAGACAGGCGUGAAAUCCCCGGGCUUAACCUGGGAAUUGCGCUUGUGACUGCAGUGCUGGAGUGCGGCAGAGGGGGAUGGAAUUCCGCGUGUAGCAGUGAAAUGCGUAGAUAUGCGGAGGAACACCGAUGGCGAAGGCAGUCCCCUGGGCCUGUACUGACGCUCAUGCACGAAAGCGUGGGGAGCAAACAGGAUUAGAAACCCUGGUAGUCC